rnacentral:rRNA from 1 species
UGUGAGCUCGAUGAGUAGGGCGGGACACGUGGUAUCCUGUCUGAAUAUGGGGGGACCAUCCUCCAAGGCUAAAUACUCCUGACUGACCGAUAGUGAACCAGUACCGUGAGGGAAAGGCGAAAAGAACCCCGGCGAGGGGAGUGAAAAAGAACCUGAAACCGUGUACGUACAAGCAGUGGGAGCACGCUUAGGCGUGUGACUGCGUACCUUUUGUAUAAUGGGUCAGCGACUUAUAUUCUGUAGCAAGGUUAACCGAAUAGGGGAGCCGAAGGGAAACCGAGUCUUAACUGGGCGUUAAGUUGCAGGGUAUAGACCCGAAACCCGGUGAUCUAGCCAUGGGCAGGUUGAAGGUUGGGUAACACUAACUGGAGGACCGAACCGACUAAUGUUGAAAAAUUAGCGGAUGACUUGUGGCUGGGGGUGAAAGGCCAAUCAAACCGGGAGAUAGCUGGUUCUCCCCGAAAGCUAUUUAGGUAGCGCCUCGUGAAUUCAUCUCCGGGGGUAGAGCACUGUUUCGGCAAGGGGGUCAUCCCGACUUACCAACCCGAUGCAAACUGCGAAUACCGGAGAAUGUUAUCACGGGAGACACACGGCGGGUGCUAACGUCCGUCGUGAAGAGGGAAACAACCCAGACCGCCAGCUAAGGUCCCAAAGUCAUGGUUAAGUGGGAAACGAUGUGGGAAGGCCCAGACAGCCAGGAUGUUGGCUUAGAAGCAGCCAUCAUUUAAAGAAAGCGUAAUAGCUCACUGGUCGAGUCGGCCUGCGCGGAAGAUGUAACGGGGCUAAACCAUGCACCGAAGCUGCGGCAGCGACGCUUAUGCGUUGUUGGGUAGGGGAGCGUUCUGUAAGCCUGUGAAGGUGUGCUGUGAGGCAUGCUGGAGGUAUCAGAAGUGCGAAUGCUGACAUAAGUAACGAUAAAGCGGGUGAAAAGCCCGCUCGCCGGAAGACCAAGGGUUCCUGUCCAACGUUAAUCGGGGCAGGGUGAGUCGACCCCUAAGGCGAGGCCGAAAGGCGUAGUCGAUGGGAAACAGGUUAAUAUUCCUGUACUUGGUGUUACUGCGAAGGGGGGACGGAGAAGGCUAUGUUGGCCGGGCGACGGUUGUCCCGGUUUAAGCGUGUAGGCUGGUUUUCCAGGCAAAUCCGGAAAAUCAAGGCUGAGGCGUGAUGACGAGGCACUACGGUGCUGAAGCAACAAAUGCCCUGCUUCCAGGAAAAGCCUCUAAGCAUCAGGUAACAUCAAAUCGUACCCCAAACCGACACAGGUGGUCAGGUAGAGAAUACCAAGGCGCUUGAGAGAACUCGGGUGAAGGAACUAGGCAAAAUGGUGCCGUAACUUCGGGAGAAGGCACGCUGAUAUGUAGGUGAAGUCCCUCGCGGAUGGAGCUGAAAUCAGUCGAAGAUACCAGCUGGCUGCAACUGUUUAUUAAAAACACAGCACUGUGCAAACACGAAAGUGGACGUAUACGGUGUGACGCCUGCCCGGUGCCGGAAGGUUAAUUGAUGGGGUCAGCGCAAGCGAAGCUCUUGAUCGAAGCCCCGGUAAACGGCGGCCGUAACUAUAACGGUCCUAAGGUAGCGAAAUUCCUUGUCGGGUAAGUUCCGACCUGCACGAAUGGCGUAAUGAUGGCCAGGCUGUCUCCACCCGAGACUCAGUGAAAUUGAACUCGCUGUGAAGAUGCAGUGUACCCGCGGCAAGACGGAAAGACCCCGUGAACCUUUACUAUAGCUUGACACUGAACAUUGAGCCUUGAUGUGUAGGAUAGGUGGGAGGCUUGGAAGUGUGGACGCCAGUCUGCAUGGAGCCGACCUUGAAAUACCACCCUUUAAUGUUUGAUGUUCUAACGUUGACCCGUAAUCCGGGUUGCGGACAGUGUCUGGUGGGUAGUUUGACUGGGGCGGUCUCCUCCUAAAGAGUAACGGAGGAGCACGAAGGUUGGCUAAUCCUGGUCGGACAUCAGGAGGUUAGUGCAAUGGCAUAAGCCAGCUUGACUGCGAGCGUGACGGCGCGAGCAGGUGCGAAAGCAGGUCAUAGUGAUCCGGUGGUUCUGAAUGGAAGGGCCAUCGCUCAACGGAUAAAAGGUACUCCGGGGAUAACAGGCUGAUACCGCCCAAGAGUUCAUAUCGACGGCGGUGUUUGGCACCUCGAUGUCGGCUCAUCACAUCCUGGGGCUGAAGUAGGUCCCAAGGGUAUGGCUGUUCGCCAUUUAAAGUGGUACGCGAGCUGGGUUUAGAACGUCGUGAGACAGUUCGGUCCCUAUCUGCCGUGGGCGCUGGAGAACUGAGGGGGGCUGCUCCUAGUACGAGAGGACCGGAGUGGACGCAUCACUGGUGUUCGGGUUGUCAUGCCAAUGGCACUGCCCGGUAGCUAAAUGCGGAAGAGAUAAGUGCUGAAAGCAUCUAAGCACGAAACUUGCCCCGAGAUGAGUUCUCCCUGACUCCUUGAGAGUCCUGAAGGAACGUUGAAGACGACGACGUUGAUAGGCCGGGUGUGUAAGCGCAGCGAUGCGUUGAGCUAACCGGUACUAAUGAACCGUGAGGCUUAACCUUACAACGCCGAAG